rnacentral:rRNA from 1 species
UAAACGACUCUCGGCAACGGAUAUCUCGGCUCUCGCAUCGAUGAAGAACGUAGCGAAAUGCGAUACUUGGUGUGAAUUGCAGAAUCCCGUGAACCAUCGAGUCUUUGAACGCAAGUUGCGCCCCAAGCCGUUAGGCCGAGGGCACGCCUGCCUGGGUGUCACGC